rnacentral:lncRNA from 1 species
UGGAUGAAACUAGACAGCGAUUCUGUCCAAUUUAAUAAAUUGCAUAGUUUCAACCUUGACAUGUUUGUUAAUAAGGCUUGGAAUAUUAAUUUUCAUAAGUGUUAAGUCGUUAGAAAUAAUUAGUUACGCUAACAUUCACAGUCAAGCUUAAAAAACAAUGGGAUUUAUGAUAUUGUUUUAGAGUACAAUCAGCAACUUGAAGUGAUAAUGUUG